CUCUCUCUCUCUCUCUCUCUCUCUCUCUCUCUCUCUCUCUCACUUCCAAGCCCUAGCUCUUCAACCCAUUUUUUCCCUUCCCGUUCGUAUUUCUCUUUAAUAUUCGCUAAUUUCUUCCUUUAUUGUUCUGAGAUCACCAAUCGUUAUGAUCCCCACCCACAGUCCUAACUGUAGCUACUCGAAUCCGUCGUCUGAGAGCACAAUGAUGACAACGACGCUGGUGGGAUUCUAGGGACUCUGAACGAGUGACGCUCUUUGGAACCUAAAGAACCUGGUUGAUACAUUCUCCUUCUCCUCCGAGAUCUCAAUCGGCGUCCUCUCAUGUAUUUUUGUCUCUUUCGUUUGAUGAAGAUCUUGGGAUGUAAUUGCAGUGGUUCCGUACAGAAGAAGAAUGAAUGUGACAAGAAGAGGAAUAUGAAGAUUUGUGUGAUUGGCAAGUAAAGAAAAGAUGAAUGAAGAGGUAGACAGAGAUCUGGUGUGUCCGGGUGCAACACCAUCAGAGCACUUCUAAUAGCAUGAGUUUUUCUAACUCCUUGUUGCUCCCAUUCAGUGGUUCCGAUAAAACGUCCGGAUCAGGACUCUACUAUUUAUCAGCUUGCUUUUCAUGUUGGACUCAAAGGGCAUUAUAGUGGGAGCAAUGAAGAAGAGUAUUUUAUUCACAACCAUUUGGCAUUUACUAUCAAGUAUCACAGAGAUUUGCUAAUUGAAUCUGCUAGAAUUGUGGGCUUUUAGGUGAAGCCAUUCAGUUGACAAACCCCAUUUUGACGGUUUAUCUUGUAUUGAUUUUAAGGGGUUUUAUGACCUUUUACCCACAUUUAUUCAAUGAAAUAGCAUGGUUUUAUAACUUCUCCCUUAAUUGUGCUUAAGAGUGAAAACAUGCUUUUUAGGACUUAAAAUAGCUAAAUCUAAUUCUCCUUGAUUCCAUUAGAUGCCUUGAUAUGUUUGUUAAGUGAUUUAAGGUUUAGGAGGCAAAGAUUGGAUCAAGGGAAUGAAGAAAGAAGGCAUGAAAAGUUGGAGAACUCAUGAAGAAAUGAAAGAACCGGAAAGCUAUCAAGCGGACCUCUUCACACUUAAACGACCAUAACUUGAGCUACAGAGGUCCAAAUGAUGCGGUUCCAUUUGGGUUGGAAAGCUAACAUCCGGGGCUUCGAAAUGAUAUAAAUUUUGCCAUAUGUUGCUUCGUGUUCAGGGGCGCGCACGCGCACUUUGCGCGCGCGCGCCGAUUCUGUCCGUGGCCCACUCUAAUGAAAUCGUCCCCAGCGGUUUUAGGAGCCUUGUGGGCCCAAUCCAACUCAUUUCUGAUGCUAUUUAAGUCAAGGAUUGAAGAGGGAUGAGACAUGUUAGUUACCAUUAGUUUAGUUUAGUAGUUAGAAUUAGUUUCUAGAGAGAGAAGCUCUUACUUCUCUCUAGAAUUAGGAUUAGGAUUGGGAUUAGUUCUUAGAUCUAGGUUUUAAUCUUUGCUUUCUUCUACUUCUACAUCUCAAUUCCUUGUUGUUAGAUUCAUUCUUCUUCCAUUCUUUUAUGUUGUUCUUACACUUUGUUGUAGAUCUACUAUUGUUCCUUCCAUUUCCUUUCAAUUCAAUAAGAGGUAAUUCAUAAUAA